rnacentral:lncRNA from 1 species
GAAUUUUUGUUGAUAGAUGAGUAUUCUUUCAGAAUUUUUCAUCAAUAGGUUGCAUUUUUUAAUAAGUUUUACAAAAACUUCUAUUUUUGGAAAGUUUUCAUUUCUAUAGAGAACUAUUGUAGAUUUGGGAUUGCGACUUUAAAAUUAGGAUAAGAAAAAGUUUUGUUGAUAGAUGAGUUUUCUUUGAGAAUUUUUCAUCAAUAAGUUGCAUUUUUUCAAUAAUUUUUACGAAAGCUAUUAUUUUUGGAAAUUUUUUGUUUUUAUAGAGAACUAUUGUAGAUUUGGAAUUUUGACUUAGUAAUAAGUAUAAAAAUAAUUUGUUUUGAUAGAUGAGUAUUCUUUCAUAAUUUUUCAUCAAUAAGUUGCAUUUUUUCAAUAAUUUUUAUGAAAGGUGCUAUUUUUAAAAAAGUUUUUAUUUCUAUAGAGAACUAUUAUAGAUUUGGGAUUGUGACUCUGAAAUUAGGGUAACUAGAAUUUUUGUUGAUAGAUGAGUAUUCUUUCAGAAUUUUUCAUCAAUAUGUUGCAUUUCUUCAAUAAUUUUUACGAAAGCUGUUAUUUUUGGAAAGUUUUUAUUUCUGUAGAGAACUAUUGUAGAUUUGAGAUUGUGACUUAGAAAUUAGGAUAACUAGAAUUUUUGUUGAUAGAUGAGUAUUCUUUCAGAAUUUUUCAUCAAUAGGUGCAUUUUUUAAAUAUUUUUUUAAGAACCUACUAUUUUUGGAAAGUUUUCAUUUUAUAGAGAACAAUUGUAGAUUUGGAAUUGUGACUUAGAAAUAAGGAUAAUUAGAAUUUUUUUUAUAGAUGAGUAUUCUUUCAGAAUUUUUCAUCAUUAGGUUGCAUUUUUCAAUAAUUUUUACGAAUCUGCUAUUUUUGGAAAGUUUUUAUUUCUAUAGAGAAGUUUGUAGAUUUGAGAUUGUGACUUAGAAAUUAGGAUAGCUAGAAUUUUUUUUUUGAUAGAUGAGUAUUCUUUUAGAAUUUUUUCAUCAAUAGGUUGCAUUUUUUCAAUAAUUUUUACGAAAGCUGCUAUUUUUAGAAAGUUUUCAUUUUUUAUAGAGAACUAUUGUUGAUUUGGGAGUGUGACUUUGAAAUUAGGAUAAGAAAAUUUUUUGUUGAUAGAUGAGUAUUCUUUGAAAAAAUUUCAUCAAUAGGUUGCAUUUUUUCAAUAACUUUUACGAAAGCUACUAUUAUUGGAAAGUUUUUAUUUUUACAGAGAACAAUUGUAGAUUUUAUUUGUGACUUUUAAAUUAGGAUAAAAAUAAUUUGUUUUGAUAGAUGAGUAUUCUUUCAUAAUUUUUUAACAAUAGGUUGCAUUUUUUCAAUAAUUUUUACGAAAUGUGCUAUUUUUAGAAAGUUUUUAUUUCUAUAGAGAAUUAAUGUAGAUUUCGGAUUGUGACUUUGAAAUUGGGAUAACAUGAAUUUUUUUUGAUAGAUGAGUAUUCUUUCAGAUUUUUUCAUCAAUAUUUUGUAUUUUUCAAUAAUUUUUACAAAAGCUGCUAUUUUUGGAAAUUUUAUAUUUCUGUAGAGAACUAUUUUGGAUUUGGGAUUGUGACUUUGAAAUUAGGAUAAAAAUAAUUUGUUUUGAUAGAUGAGUAUUCUUUCAUAAUUUUUCAUCAAUAGGUUGCACUUUUUCAAUAAUUUUUAUGAAAUGUGCUAUUUUUAGAAAGUUUUUAUUUUUAUAGAUAACUAUCGUAGAUUUGGGAUUGUGACUUUGAAAUUAGGAUAACAUGAAUUUUUGUUGAUAGAUGAGUAUUCUUUCAGAAUUUUCAUCAAUAUGUUGCAUUUUUCAAUACUUUUUACGAAAGUUACUAUUUUUGGAAAGUUUUUAUUUCUAUAGAGAAUUAUUGUAGAUUUGGAAUUGUGACUUAGAAUAACAAUAUUUUUUUUAGAUGAAUAUUAUUUCAGAAUUUUUCAUCAAUAAAUUGUAUUUUUAAAUA